GAAGUCGUGACGAACUCCUAACAUGUAAGAAAAUUUGUCUUUCAAGGUCUCUUCAAUGAAAUAUACUUGUUAUGCAACUUG